UUCCCUCAGACGCCGUUCCACGAGCUCAA
rnacentral:sRNA from 1 species